AUGGCUUCAGGGAAGAAGGUUGAUGAAGAAGAUGUCGUCUCUCACAUCUUUGCCGGAUUGGAUGAGGAGUUCGACCCAGUGGUCUCGGCCAUGUGCUCCAGGGUCGAACCGGUCACGGUUCCGGAGCUGUACUCACAGCUGCUGAGCUUCGAGGUUCGCAUGAGUCUGUGCGGCGGAUCUUCCCAGUCGUGUGCCAACGUCGCAAUUCACCUCCACUUCAACAAAAACAAUGGCGGAGGCACGCCCGUGGCAACUUCCCCAACAAGCAGUCUGGCGGUGGUGGUGACCGUGCCCGCGACAACUUCUCCAAGCUGCCAACUCGCCUAA
rnacentral:rRNA from 1 species